rnacentral:rRNA from 1 species
UACGUAGGGUCCGAGCGUUGUCCGGAAUUAUUGGGCGUAAAGAGCUCGUAGGCGGUUUGUCGCGUCUGGUGUGAAAACCCUCAGGCUCAACCUGGGGCGUGCAUCGGGUACGGGCAGACUAGAGUGCGGUAGGGGGAGACUGGAAUUCCUGGUGUAGCGGUGGAAUGCGCAGAUAUCAGGAGGAACACCGAUGGCGAAGGCAGGUCUCUGGGCCGCAACUGACGCUGAGGAGCGAAAGCAUGGGGAGCGAACAGG